rnacentral:rRNA from 1 species
GACGAACGCUGGCGGCGUGCUUAACACAUGCAAGUCGAACGUGAUUUUUGUGGAAAUUCUUUCGGGAAUGGAAAUGAAAUGAAAGUGGCGAACGGGUGAGUAACACGUGAGCAACCUACCUUACACAGGGGGAUAGCCGUUGGAAACGACGAUUAAUACCGCAUGAGACCACAGAAUCGCAUGAUAUAGGGGUCAAAGAUUUAUCGGUGUAAGAAGGGCUCGCGUCUGAUUAGCUAGUUGGAAGGGUAAAGGCCUACCAAGGCGACGAUCAGUAGCCGGUCUGAGAGGAUGAACGGCCACAUUGGAACUGAGACACGGUCCAAACUCCUACGGGAGGCAGCAGUGGGGAAUAUUGCACAAUGGGGGGAACCCUGAUGCAGCGACGCCGCGUGAGCGAAGAAGGUUUUCGAAUCGUAAAGCUCUGUCCUAUGAGAAGAUAAUGACGGUAUCAUAGGAGGAAGCCCCGGCUAAAUACGUGCCAGCAGCCGCGGUAAUACGUAUGGGGCGAGCGUUGUCCGGAAUUAUUGGGCGUAAAGGGUACGUAGGCGGUUUUUUAAGUCAGGUGUGAAAGCGUGAGGCUUAACCUCAUUAAGCACUUGAAACUGGAAGACUUGAGUGAAGGAGAGGAAAGUGGAAUUCCUAGUGUAGCGGUGAAAUGCGUAGAUAUUAGGAGGAAUACCGGUGGCGAAGGCGACUUUCUGGAC